GUGAAGCGGCAACAGCUCAAAUUUGAAAUCUGGCCCUUUCAGGGUCCGAGUUGUAAUUUGCAGAGGGUGCUUUGGCGUCGGCCGUGGUCUAAGUUCCUUGGAACAGGACGUCACAGAGGGUGAGAAUCCCGUACGUGGCCGCCGGUCUUCGCCGUGUAAAGCCCCUUCGACGAGUCGAGUUGUUUGGGAAUGCAGCUCUAAAUGGGAGAUAAAUUUCUUCUAAAGCUAAAUAUUGGCCAGAGACCGAUAGCGCACAAGUAGAGUGAUCGAAAGAUGAAAAGCACUUUGGAAAGAGAGUCAAAAAGCACGUGAAAUUGUUGAAAGGGAAGCGCUUGCAGCCAGACGUGCCCGCAGUUGCUCACCCGGGCUCUCGCCCGGGGCACUCUUCUGCGGGCAGGCCAGCAUCAGUUCGGGCGGUUGGAUAAAGGCCUCUAUCACGUAUCUUCCUUCGGGAUGACCUUAUAGGGGAGGCGCAACACGGCCAGCCCGAACUGAGGACCGCGCAUUCGCUAGGAUGCUGGCGUAAUGGCUGUAAGCGGCCCGUCUUGAAACACGGACCAAGGAGUCUAACAUCUAUGCGAGUGUUUGGGUGUCAAGCCCGGACGCGCAAUGAAAGUGAACGGAGGUGGGAACCCCUCGGGGUGCACCAUCGACCGAUCCUGAAGUCUUCGGAUGGAUUUGAGUAAGAGCAUAGCUGUUGGGACCCGAAAGAUGGUGAACUAUGCCUGAAUAGGGUGAAGCCAGGGGAAACCCUGGUGGAGGCUCGCAGCGGUUCUGACGUGCAAAUCGAUCGUCAAAUUUGGGCAUAGGGGCGAAAGACUAAUCGAACCAUCUAGUAGCUGG
rnacentral:rRNA from 1 species